rnacentral:rRNA from 1 species
GCAAGUCGAACGGUAACAUGAAUUGCUUGCAAUUUGAUGACGAGUGGCGCACGGGUGCGUAACGCGUAUGCAACCUACCUCUAAUUGGGGGAUAGCCCGGAGAAAUCCGGAUUAAUACCCUAUAACAUUAACCUCUCGCAUGUUUGGUUAAUUAAAGGUUACGAUUAGAGAUGGGCAUGCGUGACAUUAGUUAGUUGGUAAGGUAACGGCUUACCAAGACUUCGAUGUCUAGGGGGCCUGAGAGGGUAGC